UUUCCGUAGGUGAACCUGCGGAAGGAUCAUUAUUGAAUGAAACACUUCGGGCUUUCUGCUGUUGUGCUGGUCCUUUGGGCAAUGUGUACACGACUCUGGUCACUUGUUUCUUCUGUUCCACCUGUGCACUGCCUGUAGACAUGCUGUGUCUAUGAUAUUUGUUAACACACAACAAUGUUAGUUGGUAUGUUAUAUAUAAUGAUAAAAUAUACAACUUUCAACAACGGAUCUCUUGGCUCUG
rnacentral:misc_RNA from 1 species